GCCGCCAAUUAUGUUCAUCAGGUAAGAACGGAAUCACAUCUCUGAAUAUGAACGAAUGAAUCUUUGAUGCUUCAAUUCCUCCAUGAUGACCUACGGGGGAGAAGCAGGGGAAAGAGAUGUGACCGCAAUAUGAGAAAGAACGGGGUUGAACCGUUCUCGUGUUACGGUGUCAGCGGUUUUGCACUACGGGGAAGAAUGGGGUUGAGUCAUUCUGUAGUUGCAAUACGGACGGAGGUGACGAAGGGGGCAAGGGCAACAGGGGAUGGGAGGUAGGAGUGGACACGUCCACCAGCCGCUAUCCCUUUCUCCCGAAUUUGAGUUCAACCAGCCGCUGUACAUCCACUGAUCCCAUGUCCACAGGCGAUAGGAGAGCCCUUUCUCCCAACUAUGGCAGGCCUCAUUUUCAGUGGAGCAAAUCACAGACGCACAUCUGCGCUCUUGUGGCUUAUCUGAGCCAGAGUUGCAACGACAAUAGAAUGGAUGACUAUUGCCCGAGUAUGGCUAUGAUCAGUCAUCUCAGUAAAUCUGAAUAGUGUUUUGGCCUGAAAUGAUUGCUACAACAGGGGGUCUCAGCUAUUAUCGUCCGAGACCAUUUUUUUCCAUCAAACUGCAAUGCUGACUCGGGCUUAACCAGGAGAUUAGCAAUAGAAAGAAGGGGCGACAUUUUAGGUGGGAAUUUUGAUUAAAAGAAUAACGAGAAGAAAAUAGAUUUAACAGAUGGCCACAUCACCAUAUCAGUUCAGCCAAUGAAAAAAAUCAGGGGUGCGGUGAUGCUCUGUUUCUCCGCUAAUUACAGCCGUGGGUGAAGAGGACGAUAGAGAUGGAACCACCGGAGGUGUCUUUGAGUUUCUCGAGAAGAGAUAGAACCACACCAAAUAAGAGGAGCAGAACGGGGGAUGAAAUCAGAGUGAGAGAUGAGAGAGAAGAAGCACUGCUUAAACAAUGCCUACGUUAACAAUCCGGAAGUGGGAGAGAGAGAGAGAGAGAGAUUUGAAAAGGUAUUUUUGGAAAAAGUAUCGUGCGUGAUGUUAUAUGUGAGUAAGUGUUAGGACCGAAAAAUUAACGACAGCAGAGGGGAGGUUUUUACAUAAAGUUAAAACCAUAAGGAUAGUUUAUUAAAAAAAAAAAAAAAAUUGCCCUUUUCGUGUAAAGCGUAAACUGCGCCUAAAAGUGGAGGUGGAGGAGGGAUGGAAUCAAUGGAAUGGAAGAGUGACCAUUUCUUUGGACUUUGUACA